UACAAUGUAACUAUUAGAGCCUGUUUGGGAGCUCAAUAUUCUAUGUGAGGAGAUGAUAUAACCCCUAUAUCACCGUUUGACCAACUGAUAUAUCAUCUCCCCUUUUCAAUUCCUUCAAUAUGUGCAUACAGUAACUCUCAUUUAACAACUCUCUCGGCUUCUCCACCCCCUCCCCUCACUUCUUAUGUCUCCUCCCUUCUCAUACCCGAUCGUCACUCUUGUCACUCUCUUCCCCCCCGCAUGCUCUUCCUCUUUUGAAAUUCGAUUGUCACUCUCUCCCCCUUUUUCCUUAAGUUUUCCUUUUCGGUGCACUCAAUUUGAAACCCUAAAGCUUCGUUUCUUUCGAGCGAUCUGAAACUCCACCCCAGCCUCUCACUUCCCUCACCGCUUCUUUCUCGAAUACCCACGACAGACCCUUAUCGCUUUCCUCGUGCUCGUCAUGCAUUUGAUUUCACAUCUCGUUCGUUCUGUGUGUUGGGUUUCUGGGGUCGAUGUAUGUUCGACCUCCGAAAAAAUGAGGUGAAUGCUUGGUAGGGGUCCAUGGUGUUCGAAUCGAGACUUGAUGGGGGGAGGUCAACCGUAAUUGAGUGUCUAUUGCCCACUGUCCUCCUUGCCGAUUAUGGUGAGUGAUUCCUUGCUCCAUCAUGUUUUCAUGAAAUAUACUCACGGUAUGUUGAUGGUCGGAGCUUCACACAAAGAAGAGAGGGAGAUGGAAUCAAUAGUUGGUGGCGAAGAGUGGCUGAAAGGAGUUAACGAUGAGCAUUGGUGACUGGUUGAAGAAAUUGUCUCGAGGAGGACUGCGUGCGUGAGGUUGAAGAUGAAGGUGGGGCUUAUGUGGAUGGUUGCUUGAGAAACAAAUCUUGAAGAAAGGUUCUUUUAAUCAAUCUCUUUUACUUAUUUAUUUAAUUUUUUAACUCAAACUAAAAAAGAAUAUAUAUAUUUUAAUUCCAAAUCCAACAUAUAUAUAUAAAUAUAUACAUAUUUAAUCCCUUUCUUUUUUCCUCUUCAAAUUUCAAAUCCCUUUUUGGAUAAAAAAAAAUCUAAAUCUUUUUGGAAAAGUAAUUUAAACCAAUUAUCUUAAUUAAUGGAUUCAAUUUGAUUCCAAAUAUCUUCUCCAAAUUUUAAUUUCAAUUUCUUCGAACUAUAACAAAAUUGAGAUAAUGUGACAUUCGCAAAUUUUCCUUUAAAUAAAUAUAAAUUUCAAAAUUUUCUUCUAAACAAAUAAUAAAAUUGAAUUAUCCUUUUACAGUAAUUCAAUUCAAUUUAACUUCUAAAAUUCAAAAUAUUCUCAAAUCUUACAAAAUACUGAAUUUAAAUUACCCACACAUUUGGGGCAUUACAAUGCAAAAUAGCAUGACCCCAUACAGAUAUUGGAAAUUUUGUUCUCAUAAGUAAUAGUCUAACAAUUAAUUGUAAACAUUUGAUAAAUGAUUCUGCUAAACCAUUUUGUGUAUGAACAUGAGCUACAUGAUAUUCAAUACUAAUCCCAAUUGACAUGCAA